rnacentral:rRNA from 1 species
AGAAAUCGUUAAGGGCGUAUGGCGGAUGCCUAGGCUUUCAGAGGCGAAGAAGGACGUGGUAAGCUGCGAAAAGCUCGGGGGAUUGGCACACACGAAUUGAUCCCGAGAUGUCCGAAUGGGGCAACCCGGCUGGUAGAAGACCAGUCACCCGCCGCAAGGCGAGGAGCAAACCCGGAGAACUGAAACAUCUAAGUACCCGGAGGAAAAGAAAUCGAAGAGAUUCCGUAAGUAGUGGCGAGCGAAAGCGGAUUAGCCCAAAAGCUUUUAUAUGUUUAAUAGAACGUUUUGGAAAGAACGGCCAUAGAGGGUGACAGCCCCGUAUAUGAAAGGCAUACAUAAGUGAUAAAUGAGUAGGGCGGGACACGUGAAAUCCUGUCUGAAUAUGGGGGGACCAUCCUCCAAGGCUAAAUACUCCUGAAAGACCGAUAGUGAACAAGUACUGUGAAGGAAAGGUGAAAAGCACUUCGAAUAGAAGGGUGAAAGAGAACCUGAAACCGUACGCCUACAAGCGGUCGGAGCCCACAAGUUGGGUGACGGCGUGCCUUUUGCAUAAUGAGCCUACGAGUUAAUUUUACUAGCGAGGUUAAGCACUUCAGGUGCGGAGCCGGAGCGAAAGCGAGUCUGAACAGGGCGCAUAGUUAGUAGGAUUAGACGCGAAACCUUGUGAUCUACCCAUGGGCAGGUUGAAGCUUUGGUAACACAAAGUGGAGGACCGAACCGGUUGACGUUGAAAAGUCUUCGGAUGACUUGUGGGUAGGGGUGAAAGGCCAAUCAAACUGGGAGAUAGCUCGUACUCUCCGAAAUGCAUUUAGGUGCAGCGUCGAUGUUAAGUUUAUUAGAGGUAGAGCUACUGAUUGGAUGCGGGGGAGUCAAAUCCUACCAAUUCCUGACAAACUCCGAAUGCUAAUAAAUGUUCGUCGGCAGUGAGGGCAUGGGUGCUAAGGUCCAUGUCCGAGAGGGAAAGAACCCAGACCAACAGCUAAGGUCCCCAAAUAUAUGCUAAGUUGAAAUAACGCGGUUGGACUGCAUUGACAGCUAGGAUGUUGGCUUGGAAGCAGCCAUUCAUUUAAAGAGUGCGUAACAGCUCACUAGUCGAGCGGUCCGGCAUGGAUAAUAAUCGGGCAUAAGCAUAUUACCGAAGCUAUGGAUUUAUAACUAUGGAGUUAUAUCUGGUAGGAGAGCAUUCUAUUUGCGCAGAAGCAGUACUGUGAGGUAUUGUGGAGCGGAUAGAAAAGAAAAUGUAGGCAUAAGUAACGAUAAAGCGGGCGAGAAACCCGCUCACCGAAAGACUAAGGUUUCCUCAGCCAUGCUAAUCAGCUGAGGGUUAGUCGGGACCUAACGCGAACCCGAAAGGGGUAGUGGAUGGACAUAGGGUUAAUAUUCCCUAACUUGCUCACAUUAAAAAGGGGACGGAUUUACGUACUUGCUGGAGACUGACGGAAUAGUCAAGGCCUAGCCUUCGGGCGAAGCUGCUGCAGGGAAAUAGAUUCCAAGAAAAGCCGAAGUGAAGCAACCCGUACCAAAACCGACACAGGUAGUCGAGGAGAGAAUCCUAAGGUGCUAGAGUGAAUCAUGGUUAAGGAACUAGGCAAAAUAGUCUCGUAACUUCGGAAGAAGAGACGCCAUCAGCAAUGGUGGCCGCAGUGAAGAGGCCCAGGCGACUGUUUAUCAAAAACACAGGACUCUGCUAAAUCGAAAGAUGCUGUAUAGGGUCUGACACCUGCCCGGUGCUGGAAGGUUAAGGAAGGUGCUUAGGAGCAAUCCGAAGGCAUUGACUGAAGCCCCAGUAAACGGCGGCCGUAACUAUAACGGUCCUAAGGUAGCGAAAUUCCUUGUCGGGUAAGUUCCGACCUGCACGAAUGGUGUAACGAUCUGGGCACUGUCUCAACCAUGAGCUCUGUGAAAUUGUAGUAUCGGUGAAGAUGCCGAUUACCCGCAAUGGGACGAAAAGACCCUGUGAACCUUUACUAUAACUUCGUAUUGACUUUGAAUAAACAAUGUGUAGGAUAGGUGGGAGACUUUGAAGCCGGCACGCCAGUGUUGGUGGAGUCAACGUUGAAAUACCACCCUUUGUUUAUUUGGAGCCUAACUCGCCUCGGCGAGGACACUGCGUGGUGGGUAGUUUGACUGGGGUGGUCGCCUCCAAAAGAGUAACGGAGGCUUUCAAAGGUACCCUCAGCACGCUUGGUAACCGUGCGUAGAGUGUAAUGGCAUAAGGGUGCUUGACUGUGAGACCUACAAGUCGAUCAGGUGCGAAAGCAGGACAUAGUGAUCCGGUGGUUCCGUAUGGAAGGGCCAUCGCUCAUAGGAUAAAAGGUACUCCGGGGAUAACAGGCUAGUCUCCCCCAAGAGCUCACAUCGACGGGGAGGUUCGGCACCUCGAUGUCGGCUCGUCACAUCCUGGGGCUGGAGAAGGUCCCAAGGGUUGGGCUGUUCGCCCAUUAAAGUGGCACGCGAGCUGGGUUCAGAACGUCGUGAGACAGUUCGGUCUCUAUCUAUUGCGGGCGUUAGAUGUUUGAGAGGGCUUGAGUUUAGUACGAGAGGACCGACUUGAACAAACCUCUGGUGUAUCUGUUGUGCCGCCAGGCGCACCGCAGAGUAGCUACGUUUGGAAAGGAUAAGCACUGAAAGCAUAUAAGUGCGAAACCUGCCUCAAGAUGAGACAUCUUUUAAGGGUCGUGGGAGAUGACCACGUUGAUAGGCUACAGGUGUAAAGUCAGUAAUGGCAUAGCCGAGUAGUACUAAUUACCCGUAGAUUUAUAGCCU